ACAUGUUUAGCAAAGGAGCCAAGGUGGCUGUUUUGAAUUUGUGUUUAUAUAUUGCUGGUGAGGAGUGUGUCAGCCACGCACGCUACACAUUGUGCCUGGAGAGAUUGAUGUUUUGUCAUCCACCUGCUUCAAAGCUGUAAAAUCAGCGGCUGCUUAGGCAAACCUUCCCAGCUUCAAAAAUUCAAACAAAGAAACCUUAGUGGGCUGUUUACAUACAGUAUCUGUGGAGGAAUAUCUGGGCUCGUGUUGGCGUGAUGCGGAAAUGGUUGAGAGAUUUCAGCGCCUGAAAAAGGAGGACGGCGAGCUGAAUGGAGGCGGCGAGCCGUGUGAAGUCUCGGGGAACGAGCUCGUCUCCAGGUAGACGCGGGGCGGAAGUGGGCAGCCUCCUGAAGGAAGGAUCGGGAGGGCGGAGGAGAGGAUGGAGAGAGAAGGCUGGAUCUCGCUGUACCUGAGGGGAGGGUGUGGGAGCUGGGAGAGGUAACGGUUUGGAGGCCUGCCAGCUGUCCUCACACAGUGCAUCCCUGUGAGUUUGGAGGGGGUUCUGCCCAGUGAGAGAGGUCCAGCCCUGCCGGGUCACCUGUGUUUCUCAGCUAACUCUACCCCUGUUGAUCCAGCCAGCAGCCAGCCAGCGGCUAAUGGGUCACCCAUCCAGAAACAGAUGCACUGGGGCUAAUUUGUUUGUACGGCCCCAGCCCUGAGCACCUGGCCCUGGGCCUCCUCCUCCUGACCAGAUCAGCGCUGCUGCAGUCUCCAGCGCUCGCUGCAGGGGACAUGUCAAACAGCAGGGAGCAGGGUGAGUGCCCUUCAGUCAGUCACACAUACCGGGCGGCGUCUUGCAAAUAGUGCGUCUGAAAUGGUAUGGUGCCUGAACCAGUAGUCCUCCUUUUUUGAAAUAAAGAACAAACAACAACAUCGAAGAAUGUGUUUUUUUUUUAUUAUUGCAAAGCCAUGUCCCAUUGUUUGAAUCUUUUGGGGAAACAAUACAGCCACACUAUAGACAGUUUUGCUUUAGGUAUUUUUAAUACCUUGUGUUUAAUGUUAGCUAGCUUGCUAACCUGAGUCGACAGAGCGAGUGUAUUAUGUUAGUGAAAAUGGCACCGAAAUUAAGCACCAAAAUCUGUGUUUUGAUCAGAAUGUUCAAUACUUAUAGUUAGGAAAUGUCAUGAAGGAGGAGCCAUAUGGAUUUCAUGGUGG